rnacentral:rRNA from 1 species
UACAGAGGUCCCAAGCGUUGUUCGGAUUCAUUGGGCGUAAAGGGUGUGUAGGUGGCGCCGUAAGUCGGGUGUGAAAUCUCGGGGCUUAACUCCGAAACUGCAUUCGAUACUGCGGUGCUUGAGGACUGGAGAGGAGACUGGAAUUCAUGGUGUAGCAGUGAAAUGCGUAGAGAUCAUGAGGAAGGCCAGUGGCGACGGCGGGUCUCUGGACAGUUCCUGACACUGAGACACGAAGGCCAGGGGAGCAAACGGG